CAGAUACGAAAGUAGAGCAUAGUGAACCGAUGGUCCGCGUUAGAUGCGGCCGGAGAUUACCCGAUAAAAGUUACCCUGGGGAUAACAGGCUAGUCGUGCCCAAGCGUCCAUAGCGACGGCACGGUUCGGCACCUCGAUGUCGGCUCAACUUAUCCUGGGGCUGGAGCAGGUCCCAAGGGUUUGGCUGUUCGCCAAUUAAAAAGUUACGCGAGCUGGGUUUAGACCGUUUAGGUUCUAAUAUUUGGAACUUAAACAGUCUAAAUCCAAAUCUGAAACACGACAGAAUCGAGAUUUUCGUUUAUGAAAAAGAAGGAACCAACCAAUCACGGCGGUACACAGCAGUAAUGUUGUGUAACAAGCUAACUAAUUUCGGUGGAACCCACAGUCAUCACUAAGUGACCGGGCAACACCGAGGGAAGUAAUGAUUGUCACAAAUCAUUAUGCCCGUAGAGACUACACGUUAGACUUCCAUAGUUUUGGAAGAUGAUAUAGUCCGAUACUCUGAGUAAUUAGAGCAAACAUAUUGCGUGAGACAGGUUGGUCUCCUAUCUACUGCAGGCGUCGAUUCUUGAUGAGAUUUGUCCCUAGUACGAGAGGACCGGGAUGAACUGACCUCUGGUCUAUCGGCUGUCACGCCAGUGGCACUGCCGAGUAGCUAUGUCGGGAAUGGAUAACCGCUGAAAGCAUCUAAGCGGGAAGCCAACUCAAAGAUGAGGAAUCAUUAAGUCCCCAGAGAGAUUAUCUGGUUGAUAGGCACUAGGUAGAAGUGCAGUAAUGCAUGGAGCCAAGGUGUACUAAUCGGACGU
rnacentral:rRNA from 1 species